UACAUGAUUUUAAUUGCUCAAUCUAAACUUCAGUCCACUAGGGUUUAAACCACAUAAAAGCUUUGGACAUUCAACUCUUUGAUAUUCAAAACCUACAAUUUCUCUCUUGGACAAAAUGAACCGGACGGUUGUGGAAAUCCCUGAGCAACUAUCAUUGAACAGAUUAGGGAAUUGCAAAUGCAACAAUUCUCGAUCUCGACGUCCCCACAAUGCAAAAUUCUAAACAAUAUACAUCUGCUGGAACACUGAUUAAAAAACUCUCUAUUUAUGCUGGUAUACCAGGGAAAAAAGCCAAAUUGCAUCAACCUUUAAGAAGCUAAACAGUCAGGAGCAUUGUUUUGCUUAUAUGCCUGUUCCAUGUUUGGUCCUCUCAAGCUUAUGCUUGAUUGGAACCCAAUUCAGCUCAACAAUGCAGUUCCGAUCACACUCUACUUGUCCCCUCCUCCAAAC
rnacentral:misc_RNA from 1 species